ensembl:lncRNA
CCACUCACACACAAACACAAAACACCUAGUCCCACUAGGGGCUAUGAGAAUCUCACUUCCAGAUAACAAGCCAGCAGCCAAGUGACUUUCACACAGUGGUACAGUGGUGCAGUGGUACAGUGGUGCAGUGGUACAGUGGUGCAGUGGUACAGUGGUGCAGUGUGUGGGGCUGACUGGAGUAAACCAUAGAAAUAGAACUCAAGAGCUCCACGGAUAUGUCGCUCUGAGUUGAAGAGCAACGCUAGCUCAUCACACACCUGAGAAGAGAGAGAUAAAGGACAGAGAGAGAGAUAAAGGAAAGAAAAGGAAGAGCGAGUGAUGAAGGGAAACGAGGAGCAGAGGCAAGAGGAAGAGUGAGAGAACUAAAGGGUUAAAAGAAAAGGAAGAGCGAGUGAUGAAGGGAAACGAGGAGCAGAGGCAAGAGGAAGAGUGAGAGAACUAAAGGGUUAAAAGAAAAGGAAGAGCGAGUGAUGAAGGGAAACGAGGAGCAGAGGCAAGAGGAAGAGUGAGAGAACUAAAGGGUUAAAGAAAAGGAAGGGAAAGUGAUCAAGAGACUGAAAUGAAGACAUGGAGAUGCGAAAAAGAGGACCAUGGAAAGAGCCGAGAGGGAGUAAAUGGAGAGGGGGUAAGAGAAAAGGAGAGGGGGUAAGAGAAAUGAGAGGGGGUAAUAGAAAAUGAGAGGGGGUAGGAGAAAAGGAGAGGGGUAAGAGAAAUGAGAGGGGGUAAUAGAAAAUGAGAGGGGGUAGGAGAAAAGGAGAGGGGGUAAGAGAAAUGAGAGGGGGUAAUAGAAAAUGAGAGGGGGUAGGAGAAAAGGAGAGGGGGUAAGAGAAAAGGAGAGGGGGUAAGAGAAAAGGAGGGGGUAAUAGAAAAGGAGAGGAGAUAAGAGAAAUGAGAGGGGGUAAGAGAAAAGGAGAGGGGGUAAGAGAAAAGGAGAGGGGGUAAUAGAAAAUGAGAGGGGGUAAGAGAAAAGGAGAGGGGGUAAAAGAAAAGGAGAGGGGGUAAGAGAAAUGAGAGGGAGUAAGAGAAAAGGAGAGGGGGUAGGAGAAAGGGAGAGGGGGUAAGAGAAAGGGAGAGGAGAUAAGAGAAACGAGAGGGGGUAAGAGAAAAGGAUAGGAGAUAAGAGAAAUGAGAGGGGGUAGGAGAAAAGGAGAGGAGAUAAGAGAAAUGAGAGGGGUAAUAGAAAAGGAGAGGAGAUAAGAGAAAUGAGAGGGGGUAAUAGAAAAGGAGAGGAGAUAAGAGAAAUGAGAGGGGGUAAUAGAAAAUGAGAGGAGAUAAGAGAAAUGAGAGGGGUAAUAGAAAAGGAGAGGAGAUAAGAGAAAUGAGAGGGGGUAAUAGAAAAUGAGACGGGGUAAUAGAAAAGGAGAGGAGAUAAGAGAAAUGAGAGGGGUAAGAGAAAAGGAGAGGAGAUAAGAGAAAUGAGAGGGGGUAAUAGAAAAUGAGACGGGGUAAUAGAAAAUGAGAGGAGAUAAGAGAAAUGAGAGGGGGUAAUAGAAAAGAAGGAGGGACAGGCUCAGCAGGGAUCAGAUUUCAGUGAGUCAGCAGCAGUCAGAGGACUGAGUGGAGAGACAGCAAGAGGGAGGGAGGGAGUUGACUCACGAGGGAUGGGGAAAAAUAGACACAGUGUACAUUUUCACACCUCUGUGGGAGGAGCCUGACCUCGGGUUAGUACACUGGCCACACACACACACACACACACACACACACA